rnacentral:rRNA from 1 species
GACGAACGCUGGCGGCGCGCUUAACACGUGCAAGUCGAACGGAAAGGCCCUGCUUUUGUGGGGUGCUCGAGUGGCGAAAGGGUGAGUAACACGUGAGACACCUGCCCUUGACUUUGGGAUCACUUCAGGAAACUGGGGCUAAUACCGGAUAGGAGCUCCUGCUGCAUGGGGGGGGUUGGACAGUUUCGGCGGUUGGGGAUGGACUCGCGGCUUAUCAGCUUGUUGGUGGGGUAGUGGCUUACCAAGGCUUUGACGGGUAGCCGGCCUGAGAGGGUGACCGGCGACAUUGGGACUGAGAUACGGCCCAGACGCCUACGGGAGGCAGCAGUGGGGAAUAUUGCACAAUGGGCGGAAGCCUGAUGCAGCAACGCCGCGUGCGGGAUGACGGCCUUCGGGUUGUAAACCGCUUUCGCCCGUGACGAAGCGUGAGUGACGGUAAUGGGUAAAGAAGCACCGGCUAACUACGUG